rnacentral:rRNA from 1 species
UACGGGGGGAGCAAGCGUUGUUCGGAUUUACUGGGCGUAAAGGGCGCGUAGGCGGACCACCAAGUCCGGGGUGAAAUCUUUCGGCUUAACCGGAAAAGUGCCUUGGAUACUGGUGGUCUCGAGUGAGGUAGGGGCAUGUGGAACUUCUGGUGGAGCGGUGAAAUGCGUUGAUAUCAGAAGGAACUCCGGUGGCGAAAGCGACGUGCUGGACCUCUUCUGACGCUGAGGCGCGAAAGCUAGGGGAGCGAACGGG